rnacentral:rRNA from 1 species
AUUGAACGCUGGCGGCAUGCCUUACACAUGCAAGUCGAACGGCAGCACGGGUGCUUGCACCUGGUGGCGAGUGGCGAACGGGUGAGUAAUACAUCGGAACGUACCUUAUCGUGGGGGAUAACGCAGCGAAAGCUGUGCUAAUACCGCAUACGCCCGGAGGGGGAAAGCGGGGGAUCGCAAGCACCCGCGCGAUUAGAGCGGCCGGUGCCUGAUUAGCUUGUUGGUGGGGUAAAAGCCCACCAAGGCGACGAUCAGUAGCUGGUCUGAGAGGAUGAUCAGCCACACUGGGACUGAGAGACGACCCGGACUCCUACGGGAGGCAGCAGGGGGGAAUUUUGGACAAUGGGGGCAACCCUGAUCCAGACAUUCCGCGUGAGUGAAGAAGGCCUUCGGGUUGUAAAGCUCUUUUGUCCGGAACGAAACGGUUGUGGUGAAUAGCCACGACUACUGACGGUACCGGAAGAAUAAGCACCGGCUAACUACGUGCCAGCCGCCGCCGUAA